GAUGAAGAACGUAGCGAAAUGCGAUAAGUAAUGUGAAUUGCAGAAUUCAGUGAAUCAUCGAAUCUUUGAACGCACCUUGCGCCCUUUGGCUAUUCCGAAGGGCAUGCCUGUUUGAGUAUCAUGAACACCUCAACUCUCAUGGUUUGCCAUGAUGAGCUUGGACUCUGGGGGUCUUGCUGGCCUAUGGUCAGCUCCUCUCAAAUAAAUCAGCUUGCCAGUGUUUGGUGGCAUCACAGGUGUGAUAACUAUCUACGCUUGUGGUUUUCCAUCAGGUAACCUUCAGUGAUGGAGGUUCGCUGGAGCUCAUAAAUGUCCCUCCUCAGCGAGGACAGCUCUUUGAACGUUUGAUCUCAAAUCAGGUAGGACUACCCGCUGAACUUAAGCAUAUCAAUAAGCGGAGGA
rnacentral:misc_RNA from 1 species